rnacentral:miRNA from 14 species
UCUCUUCUGAUCUCGGAAGCUAAGCAGGGUCGGGCCUGGUUAGUCCUUGGAUGAGAGACU